GCCCUCGUAGCUCAGGGGAGAGAGCAGCGGUUUCCUAAACCGUGUGUCGCAGGUUCGAAUCCUGCCGAGGGCGCCG
rnacentral:tRNA from 1 species